rfam:Geobacteraceae bacterium GWC2_58_44 gwc2_scaffold_2963, whole genome shotgun sequence.
CAAGUCCUCUACGUGGUAAUGAAUAGCGAUCAGCCAUGACCCCAAGUAAUGCGUCGGCCCCUCGCAAGGUGGGCGGCGAAGCGUUUACAGGGGGCAUGCAGGCAUGGAAAUUGAGCUCCGAAAUCACCUGUUCCUAGUGCCGACCUAGUUGGGCGACGGGGAAGGCAAUACGGUCCGCCGCGAUAGCGCGAGUGGCGUUACCGACCUGCGGAGUCAUAGACCC